UCUGGCUAUACUUUGUUUAGCACUGUUGACAUGUUUCCACAAGUAAGUCUGAACUUCGCUGGUGGUGCAUCUCUGGUUUUAAGACCACUGGACUACCUUAUUCAACAGAAUUAUAUUGGUGAGGGUUCAGUUUGGUGUAUUGGCUUUCAGAAAAUCCCGGGUCAAAGUGUAACUAUUCUAGGAGAUCUCGUAUUCAAAGACAAAUUUUUUGUCUACGAUGUUG